AUGGCGACUGGACGCGAGGCCGGCGAGGCGGCACCGGGGGAGGAGGAGGAGCAGAGGGAGUGGGCGGACCUGACGCCGGUGUGCCUGGCGGAGGCGUUCUCGCGGCUGGGCCUGGAGGACCAGUGGCGCGGCGCCAUGGCAUGCUGCCACUCCUGGCGGGCGGCCGCGCGCUCCCGGCCGGCGCUCUUCGCCGCGCUCGACCUCCGUUCGGCUUUCGAGGCCGUCGGCACCGACGCCACCGAGUGGUGGACGCCCGCCUUCCAGCGCCGCGUCGACGCCAUGCUCCGCUCCGCCGCCUCGCUCGCCACCGGGGAGCUCCAUGAGGUCCGGGUCCGGCACUGCUCCGACGACGCCCUCACAUUCGCCGCCAAGAGGUUCGUGCGACCUUAUUACAGUCCUCCUGCUGCUGCUCUGAAUCGUCCUUCCAGGCCUCACCCAUUCACCUGUAAACAUAAAUCCAAUGUAGAAAUCCAAAUGAGAUUCGUUCCAUGUAGGAAGGUUGCACAUCCUGCCUGUCACUUGCCACGCUGA
rnacentral:rRNA from 1 species